UCACCUUGCAGUAUCGGUGUGGUUUGAACCGAGGUGUGCCUAGAGAUCAAAUUUCUGCUUAUCAACUGCACAAAUGUGAUCCAAAGCCUGGAGACAUCAAUGAACUCUGCAGGAGUUCACUUGCUGAGCAGGUGUUCAUGGCCCACCACGGGAAGAGAGAUUUGGGGUAGAAAUAGCUUUUCACCUGCACAAACUGAGCAGCUUUUUGCUGCAAUUUGCACCUCUGGACCUGCCAGUAACACCCAGGUUCCUCUGAAUGAGUCUGGCAGGCCAGGCUGAGCACUGCAAUGAGGCACCAAACUGCUGUGUGUGUCUCCUGCCUGGCUUUUGCUGUGAAGCACAAACUGGUGAUGCUGCAGGAGCUCUCUCUUGCUACUCUUGAGCCACAGUGGCUGCAUCUCUUUCCAUGCCAUGGUACCCACACUUCUGACUCACCAUCAGAAAUUUUCUACACAACUGACCGUUUGCUUUCAGCUAUGCAAUUUUUUUUUUUACUUUUUUUUUUAAGUAGAAGCUUGAUUUUUUUUUUUAUGUUAAAGUCUAAAAAUAAAAAUAAUCACUAGUGUUAAGUGACCUAUAAGAAUGAAGCAGAAACAGGCCAGUCAGACCUCAUUAGCCAAGACUAGGGAUUUCUGCUUGAAUUUCAUCCUCAAGACAUCAGUCUUACUAAGUGAUAUUGGGAUAUUAAAAAUUAAUUCUGUGAUGAGUUUUACUACUCCCAUCUUCUUUCAGAAGCUCACAAAUUAUCAUUUUGUUAUCAUGGUCUGGUGGAAACCUAUUUUUGGUGUUAAUGAUAAGACAGAUGUUUGUAAUUUUGAAGACUGAUAAAGAUAUUUUGAGGCAGCACUUAGCAGCAUAAAUUAGGUGUUCUCUAAUAACCUAUGCAAAAUAUUCAGGAAUACUUUCCAUGUAGUUAUGAAAAUAGACUAGGAAAAUUAUCACAUUCUCAGGACUGGGUUACAUUUUUAUAUCUUAUCAUAGAGCAGUUAAUUUCUGGCUAUUUCUUGCAGGACCUAACCCCAGCUGCUGGCUCCUUCCAGAGGCAGGACUUUGCACACAAAUGGCACAGACAGGUAAAUCUCAGUGACAUCAGGGUCCCAAGCAGGCCUUGGGAUGUUUGCCCCAUGGCUUGGGAUCACUUUGUGGUGGGAGUUCCAGGGGGGGAAAAAAGAGAAUCACAGUGAAACAGCAGCCAGGAAAUGGAUAUUUAAGGGAUGGAAAUGCUCUCGUGCUCCACCUCUGACUGCUGCACUUUCUCUGUGUACAUUUUCUUCUGCUUUUGCCCAGAUCCUUUUGUGUUUUACUGUAUCCAGUGAAAGAGGUUGGGGUGUCUCCCUCACAAAAUCAUUGUGAAGCAGCCACACAACCUUGCUGUCAAAUAUAUUUUUUAAUUUCCCUUAAUUUGAUCUCUCUUAUUUACGUAACAUUUCACGGUUCUUUGUAUUCCCAUUCUAAGUAUUUCCUAUGCAAACAUGGCCUUAAAAUAUCUGCUGGCUGCUUUCCCCGCCUUAUGUUUUAGCCAAGCUAUAUCUAAACUACCUUCAAUUCCUUUUUUUAUCUCAUGUGAAUGCUUCCAAUUCUUUGGUUAUGUUUUUUUGUGGGGUGUGUUAAUGCUGUGCUUUGCCACUCCUCUCCCCAGCAGUGCCCUCUCUCCCAUCAGCAGUGGACUUGUGGCACUGAGAUGUCCAAGGAUCACACCGAGAGAAUUCCUGCUGAGCUCCUGCUGUGGAAGAGCUGGCACAGACAGGAAGAAAAGCUGCUUUUAAGAUUUCAGUUAUGGCUCCAUGCUCCAGAUGUUUAUGGAGGUGUGCAGAAAUAGAUCCUCCAAAAAUGUCAGAAGUGGCUUCACUCAAAUAUUAAUUAUUUUACCAUUUCAAUCAUUAUUUUCCACUGAAUUUUUUUUAUUAGCACUCACAAAACAAAGGAGAGAAGAGAGCAGAAGAUCCUAUGGCUCUUUAAUUGCACCUUUUCUUCUGUAUCCUUCAUGAAACAUUAUAGGGAACAAAUAAAUAUAAAUGUCACACUUUUGGAAUGAUACCUUCUUUAUAUGCAGAAAUUAAUUAUAAAUCCUUCCAAAGUAAAUCCUUAUGAUCUCAUCAAAUUACUGUAUUAAAAAUCAUCAUGAAAAUAUCUUUCCAUGUGAGACUUUCAAAUAUAUGAAAUGUAAAUUAAUUCUCAGAAAUUGCCUGAAUGAAUGCAUUAAGCCUAUUCUGUGGGUGGUUAUACAGACACUUUGAAAUUUUUUUGUUCAUAUCUUCAAUCACCUACAGCAGCACAACAGUAAAACCCUCAAGCCCUCCAUCUUAUUUGCUGCAACCAUGGCACAGAAAUUAGACAGGAGACUUUGGAACAAAAAUACUCAGAGAUUUCAUUAAAACAUUUUAUUCCUGAGCAUCUGAAGUUAAAAAAAAAAAUAAUAAAAAAAAAAUCCACAAAAGACUCAAUAUGUUGUUUGACCAAAUAACUGUUUAGAGGAUAAAUGCAGAAGGGAGCAUCUCCAUUUACCCUGAGAAAGCUAUCCAGCAUACAUAAAAUCAAGGUGAAAAAAAAUACCUAUUAGCACUAAUUCAAAAUACUACCAAAGUGUCUGAAAAUGCACUUUCCUAGAAGAUUUAAUACUUUAUAUAAAGGUAGGCAGGUAUUUCAGACAGAGGCCUGUCAGUGUUUCCAUUAACUUAAAUGAUGGAAGACUGUGCUCAUGUAAAAUUUACAGUGUACAUUAAACCAUCAAGGGUAACAAC